rnacentral:rRNA from 1 species
CCUACGGGGGGCAGCAGUGGGGAAUAUUGCACAAUGGGGGAAACCCUGAUGCAGCGACGCCGCGUGAGUGAAGAAGUAUUUCGGGAUGUAAAGCUCUGUCAGCAGGGAAGAAAAUGACGGUACCUGACCAAGAAGCCACGGCUAACUACGUGCCAGCAGCCGCGGUAAUACGUAGGGGGCAAGCGUUAUCCGGAUUUACUGGGUGUAAAGGGAGCGUAGACGGCAGGGCAAGUCUGGAGUGAAAGGCGGGGGCUCAAACCCCGGACUGCUCUGGAUACUGCCAGGCUGGAGUGCAGGAGAGGUAAGUGGAAUUCCUAGUGUAGCGGUGAAAUGCGUAGAUAUUAGGAAGAACACCAGUGGUGAAGGCGGCUUACUGGACUGUAACUGACGUUGAGGCUCGAAAGCGUGGGGAGCAAACAGGAUUAGAUACCCUUGUAGUC